rnacentral:rRNA from 1 species
UGGGGAAUAUUGCACAAUGGGCGAAAGCCUGAUGCAGCAAUGCCGCGUGUGUGAAGAAGGCCUGCGGGUUGUAAAGCACUUUCGGUAGGGAAGAUUAUGACGGUACCUACAGAAGAAGCACCGGCUAACUCCGUGCCAGCAGCCGCGGUAAUACGGAGGGUGCAAGCGUUAAUCGGAAUUACUGGGCGUAAAGCGCGCGUAGGCGGCUUUGUAAGUCGGAUGUGAAAGCCCCGGGCUUAACCUGGGAAUU